UGCAAGUCGAACGGCAGCGCGGGCUUCGGCCUGGCGGCGAGUGGCGGACGGGUGAGUAAUGCAUCGGAACGUGCCCAGGAGUGGGGGAUAACGUAGCGAAAGUUACGCUAAUACCGCAUACGUACUGAGGUAGAAAGCGGGGGAUCGAAAGACCUCGCGCUCAUGGAGCGGCCGAUGUCGGAUUAGCUAGUUGGCGGGGUAAAAGCCCACCAAGGCGACGAUCCGUAGCUGGUCUGAGAGGACGACCAGCCACACUGGGACUGAGACACGGCCCAGACUCCUACGGGAGGCAGCAGUGGGGAAUCUUGGACAAUGGGGGAAACCCUGAUCCAGCAAUGCCGCGUGUGGGAUGAAGGCCCUCGGGUUGUAAACCACUUUUGGCAGGAAAGAAAUCGCCUGUGCUAAUACCACGGGCGGAUGACGGUACCUGCAGAAUAAGCACCGGCUAACUACGUGCCAGCAGCCGCGGUAAUACGUAGGGUGCGAGCGUUAAUCGGAAUUACUGGGCGUAAAGAGUGCGUAGGCGGUUUUGUAAGACAGAUGUGAAAUCCCCGGGCUUAACCUGGGAACUGCAUUUGUGACUGCAAGACUAGAGUGUGUCAGAGGGAGGUGGAAUUCCGCGUGUAGCAGU
rnacentral:rRNA from 1 species